rnacentral:misc_RNA from 1 species
GUAGGUGAACCUGCGGAAGGAUCAUUCAUAAUAAAGUGUUUUAUGGCACUUUUUGAAAAUCCAUAUCCACCUUGUGUGCAAUGUUAGAUCUCGUCAAUCUUGGCGAGAUUUUUAUACAUCAACUCAUUCUUUAACUAAUUUGUCUGAAAAAUAUUAUGAAUACUUAAUUCAAAAUACAACUUUCAACAACGGAUCUCUUGGCUCUCGCAUCGAUGAAAAACGCAGC